CCUACGGGAGGCAGCAGUGAGGAAUAUUGGUCAAUGGGCUUACGCCUGAACCAGCCAAGUCGCGUGAGGGAAGACUGCCCUAUGGGUUGUAAACCUCUUUUGUCAGGGAGCAACGCCGGCUACGUGUAGCCGGACUGAGAGUACCUGAAGAAAAAGCAGCGGCUAACUCCGUGCCAGCAGCCGCGGUAAUACGGAGGAUGCGAGCGUUAGCCGGAUUGAUUGGGUUUAAAGGGUGCGUAGGCGGAAUGCCAAGUCAGCGGUAAAAUCGCGGGGCUCAACCUCGCUCCGCCGUUGAAACUGGCGUUCUUGAGUGGGCGAGAAGUAUGCGUAAUGCGUGGUGUAGCGGUGAAAUGCAUAGAUAUCACGCAGAACUCCGAUUGCGAAGGCAGCAUACCGGCGCCCAACUGACGCUGAAGCACGAAAGCGUGGGUAUCGAACAGGAUUAGAUACCCGUGUAGUC
rnacentral:rRNA from 1 species